UACGUAGGUGGCAAGCGUUUGUUCGGAAUUAUUGGGCGUAAAGAGCUCGUAGGCGGUUCGUCGCGUCGGCUGUGAAAUCCCGAGGCUCAACCUCGGGUCUGCAGUCGAUACGGGCGGACUGGAGUUCGGCAGGGGAGACUGGAAUUCCUGGUGUAGCGGUGAAAUGCGCAGAUAUCAGGAGGAACACCGGUGGCGAAGGCGGGUCUCUGGGCCGAUACUGACGUGAGGAGCGAAAGCGUGGGGAGCGAACGGG
rnacentral:rRNA from 1 species